UACGUAGGGUGCAAGCGUUGUCCGGAAUUAUUGGGCGUAAAGAGCUCGUAGGCGGUUCGUCGCGUCGGCUGUGAAAACCCGGAGCUCAACUCCGGGCCUGCAGUCGAUACGGGCGGACUCGAGUUCGGCAGGGGAGACUGGAAUUCCUGGUGUAGCGGUGAAAUGCGCAGAUAUCAGGAGGAACACCGGUGGCGAAAGCGGCGCACUGGACCACAACUGACGCUGAGGCGCGAAAGCUAGGGGAGCAAACAGG
rnacentral:rRNA from 1 species